GGGAGAUGGAAAGGGAGAGAAAAGCAGAAUUGGAAAGACAAGAAAUGAAGAAGAAAGUGGAACAGGCAGAAGAAACGAUAAAAGCGUUAGAACGAGAGAUUGAGAGAUUGAAAGAGAUUGAGAAGGAAAUCAUAUUUGAAAGAGAAAGAGACAUGCGUAUUGCAGAGAAUGAGAAAGUCAAACUGGUUAACGAAAAGGUAAAAGAGUUAGAGAGAGAGGUUGAGAGACUGAAAGAAGAUAUGACAACAAAAGAGAUUCAAUACAAAAUCAAAUUUGAAAGAGCGAAAGAAGCGUUUAGAAGACAGAAUGAGAGAGUGAAACAGGUUCACCAAAAUGUACUAGUGUUAGACAGAGAGGUUGUGAGAAUGAAAGAAGAGAUUAGAUUGAAAGACGAGACUGAACCAGAGAGAACAUUUGAUAGAGACAGAGAGAGAGAAAAUGAUUGGAGACGAAGUGAAGAGGAGAUGAAAAAUAGAGUGGAGAGAGAGAUGGAGAUGGAGACAGCCCUCAUCAAUGACAAAAAGAUGUCUGAAUUGGAGGAAGUCUUCAAGAAAAUCAAGGAACAGCAGAUAGAAUUAGAAAAUAUGGAAACAGACAAAUAUAAAUGGAAACAGAACCAAAUGGACAUGGAGGAGAAGAUGGAGGGUGAGCACAACAAACAGAAAGAGGUAGAAAGAAAGAGAAUGGAGAAAACACCAAAACAGAGACAAGAAGAAGAUGAGAAGAAGAAGGAGAUGGAGAGAGAAGAAGAAGAGGAGAGACGCAAACAGAAGCACAUAGAGAUGGAAGAGGAAGAAAGAGAGAGGGAGAAAGAGAGACAGAGACAGAUCAGAAGACAGAGAAUGGAGAAGAGACAGAAAAUUAUGGAAAGAGAAGAAGAGAGACAGAGAGAGAUUGAAAGAGAGAUUGAAGAACAAAGAUGUAAACAGAAGCAAAUAGAGAUGGAAGAGGAGAACGAGAGAGGGAGAAAGAGAGACAGAGAGAGAUCAAAAGGAAGAGAAUGGAGAAGAGACAGAAAAAUAUGGAAAGAGAAGAAGAGAGACAGAGAGAGAUUGAAAGAGAGAAUGAAGAAGAAAGAUGCAAACAGAAGCAAAUAGAGAUGGAAGAGAAAGAAAGAGAAGAAGAGAGACAGAGAGAGAUCAAAAGAAAGAGAAUGGAGAAGAGACAGAAAAACAUGGAAAGAGAAGUGAGACAGAAAGAGAUUGAAAGAGAGAAUGAAGAACAAAGAUUUAAACAGAAGCAAAUAGAGAUGGAAGAGGAAGAACGAGAGAAGGAGAAAGAGAGACAGAGAGAGAUCAAAAGAAAGAUAAUGGAAAAGAGACAAAAACAUAUCGGAGGAGAAGAAGAGAGACAGAAAGAGAUUGAAAGAGAGAAUGAAGAACAACUAUUUAAACAGAAGCAAAUAGAGAUGGAAGAGGAAGAACGAGAAGAAGAGAGACAGAGAGCGAUCGAAGAGAAAGAGAGACAGAGAGAGAUGGGAGAGAAAGAAAAACGACAACAACAAGAGGAGAGAAAGAUAAUGUUUGAGAGAGAUCAAGAAGAAGAAAAUAUAUGGAAACAGAAGCAAAUUGACAUGGAGAAGGAGGGAAGAGAGGGGGAGAACAAGAGACAGAGAGAGAUAGAAGAGAUACACAGACGACAACAACAAGAGGAGAGACAGAAACAAAUGGAGAAGGAGAAAGAAAGGGAGAAAGACAAUGACAAUCAGAGAGAGAUGGAAUUAAAAGAUCAGCAACAGAAAGAGAUGGAGAAAGAAAAGAUGAUUAUGAGAGAAAGGGAGGAAGCAGGAAGAAGAAAGGAGGGGCAGAAAAAUAUUUUGGGGGAAAUUGAGGGACAGAAUGAACUGGAGAUAGAACAGGAGAGAGAGAUGGAAGAAAAGCAGGAAGUGAUUAAGGAAGCAGAGGAAGAGUACAGGGAAAGAGAAGAGAGAGGAAAGGAAGUAAGCAUGAAGAAACAUGUAGUAGUUAAUGUUAAAGCAAAAGCAC
ensembl:lncRNA